UGACACAGAAGGAUAGCAUGAGCGGGUUGAUGGUAGAGCCCGUGGAGUAAGAGAGGCCGCAGGGCAGUGAAGUACGUCCUGCGUGAGGCGGAUCUUAUGAAGGAGCGAAAAAAAGUAGUGAAGCAUGUGAAUCCACGCUGGCGAGAAAAGGUGCUAACAAUUGCAUAGGUGCCCGUACCGCAAACCGACGCAGGUGGGCGAGGAGAGAAUCCUAAGACGAACGGGAGAACCCUUGUUAAGGAACUCGGCAAAAUGGCCCCGUAACUUCGGGAUAAGGGGUGCCUCGAAAGAGGCCGCAGAGAAUAGGCCCAAGCGACUGUUUAGCAAAAACACAGGUGUUUGCGAAAGCGAGAGCUGACGUAUAAGCGCUGACGCCUGCCCGGUGCUGGAAGGUUAAGAGGAGCUGUCAUCGCAAGAGAAGCAGUGAAUUGAAGCCCCAGUAAACGGCGGCCGUAACUAUAACGGUCCUAAGGUAGCGAAAUUCCUUGUCGGGUAAGUUCCGACCCGCACGAAUGGCGUAACGACUUGGGCGCUGUCUCAACAAGGGACCCGGUGAAAUUGAAGUAUGGGUGAAGAUGCCCAUUACCCGCGACUGGACGGAAAGACCCCGUAGAGCUUUACUGUAGCUUAUCAUUGAGUUUCGGCAACUGAUGUACAGGAUAGGUGGGAGGCUAGGAAACGCGGACGUCAGUCCGUGCGGAGCCGCCGUUGGGAUACCACCCUUCGGUUACUGAAAUUCUAACAAUGUGCAGUGAACCUGGCAAUGGACAGUGAUAGGUAGGCAGUUUGACUGGGGCGGUCGCCUCCCAAAGAGUAACGGAGGCGCCCAAAGGUUCCCUCAGAAUGGAUGGAAACCAUUCGAAGAGUGCAAAGGCAGAAGGGAGCCUGACUGCGAGACAGACACGUCGAGCAGAGAGGAAACUCGGGCUUAGUGAUCCGGCGGUUUUUGAGUGGAAAAGCCGUCGCUCAACGGAUAAAAGCUACCUCGGGGAUAACAGGCUGAUCUCCCCCAAGAGUCCACAUCGACGGGGAGGUUUGGCACCUCGAUGUCGGCUCGUCGCAUCCUGGGGCUGAAGCAGGUCCCAAGGGUUUGGCUGUUCGCCAAUUAAAGCGGCACGCGAGCUGGGUUCAGAACGUCGCGAGACAGUUCGGUCCCUAUCCAUCGUGGGCGCAGGAAUCAUGACAGGAGCUGUCCCUAGUACGAGAGGACCGGGAUGGACGCACCACUGGUGCAACAGUUGUCGUGCCAACGGCAUAGCUGGGAAGCGAAGUGUGGACGGGAUAAACGCUGAAGGCAUCUAAGCGUGAAGCCCACCUGGAGAUGAAGAUUCCCAUUGCGCAAGCAAGUAAGACCCCUUGAAGACGACAAGGUUGAUAGGUCAGCGCUGGAAGCCGCGUAAGCGGUGCAGGUUGCUGAUACUAAUAGGUCGAGGGCUUAAUGAC
rnacentral:rRNA from 1 species